AAGACAGAGUUUCUUGUUGCCCAGGCUGGAGUGCAGUGGCGUGAUCUCAGCUCACUGCAACCUACGCCUCCUGGUUCAAGCGAUUCUCCUGCCUCAGCCUCCCCAGCAGCUAGGAUUACAAGCAUGUACUACCAUGCCCAGCUAAUUUUGUAUUUUUAGUAGAGACAGGGUUUCACCAUGUUGGCCAGGCUGGUUUCAAACUGCUGACCUCGGAUGACCCACCUGCCUCGGCCUUCCAAAGUGCUGAGAUUACAGGCGUCAGCCACCAUGCCCGACCUCAUUAUGCUUUUAAUUUGCACUUCUCUUAUGAUCUCUGAUGGUGAGUGUGUGUGUACAGAUAUUUCAAUGGCAUCCUUUUGUAUUUUGCAAAAACAGGGAGUAUAUAUAUACUAUUUUUGCAAAAUAGCAGUUGAAAUUUUGGUGCAGAUUGUAUUAAAUCUGUAGACCACUUUGGGUAGUGGAGACAUCUUAACAAUAUUAAGUCAUCUGGGCUGGAUGCAGUGGCUCACGCCUGUAAUCCCAGCACUUUGGGAGGCCAAGGCCAGUAGAUCACUUGAGGCCAGUUUGAGACUAGCCUGGCCAACAUGGCAAAACCCUGUCUCUAUUAAAAAUACAAAAAUUAGCCAGAUGUGGUGGUGCAUGCCUGUAAUCCCAGCUACUCAGGAGGCUGAGGCAGGAGAAUUGGUUGAACCCAGGAGGCUGAGGUUGCAGUGAGCCGAGAUCGUGCCACUGCACUCUAGCCUGGGAGACACAGUGAGACUGUCUCAAAAAACAAAAAAACAAUAUAAAGUCAUCUGAUCUAUGAGCAUGGAAUUCUCUGAGAAUACAGAAAAACACAAUAGUUCUUUUUCUUAUUCUCAAACAAUAACAUGCAACACUUCUGCGACCAGAUGUGGGGGCUCUUUCCACACACACCAAGCAAGCAAGUCUGCAGAGCAUUCCUCUCCAGCAGACACCAGGAGGCUGCCCCCUAACUGAACUAAAUUCUGAUGCUACUUGGAGAUAGCAUCAGAUUCCACAGGUUCAGGUCCCAGUGCCAUAAGACUGCCCUCACCUCACGUGCCAGUUAAUUAAUUAAUUAAUUUUUUUGAGAUGGAGUCUUGCUCUGUCACCAGGCUGGAGUGCAGUGGUGCGAUCUUGGCUCACUGCAACCUCCACCUCCCACGUUCAAGCCAUUCUCCUGCCUCAGCCUCCCGAGUGGCUGAGACUACAGGUGCCUGCCACCACGCCUGGCUAAUUUUUGUAUUUUUAGUAGGGUCAGGGUUUCACUGUGUUGGCCAGGAUGGUCUCGAUCUCUUGACCUUCUGAUACACCUGCCUCGGCUGCCCAAAGUGCUGGGAUUACAGGCGUGAGCCACCGCGCCCAGCCUGGAAUUCUUAACAGGACCAUUAGGAUUAAAUAAAUUUUACUGGGGGUCUGAAGAAAUGAUGUAAUCAAGCGCCCGGCUUGAUUACAUCAUUGGAUAUUGGUGAUAGACUUAAACUUCAGCACCUCUCUCCUCCAGGUGAGGCAGGGAACUUAAGGCCAAUUUGUGCUGACUUCCUAAAGCUGGGUCAAAGGAAAACACCAAGGUCUUGGGGCAGAGAAUCUAAGGCCAAUUAACGCCAACUGCCUAAAGCUAAACCAAAAGAAAAAACCCCAUCUCCCCAAGCCUGGAGCAGCAAAGGAUGGAAGGCUACUUUCCCUCCAGCCCUCCCACUUCCACCAACAUCUCAGAUGGAAAGUGCCCUGGAUUGGCUGCGGGCCAAGCAUGGCCCAUCCCUUCAUCUUCAGAGGGCACCAAUUCACCUCAGCCUUUAAUUAGCCACCAGCCAAAUCCUUCAUCCAGAUAAGGGGUAACUGAUGGGGACCUUGAAAGGAGUACUUAAAACCCAGAAAACUUUGUAACUGGUCCCUUGAGCUGCUUGCUCGGGCUCACUUCCACCCUGUAAUGUGCUUUCUCCCUUUAAUAAAUCCUUGCAUUUGCGGCUUCGGUCCUGGGUUUCGUUCCUUUGUGUGUUUUCUUCAGUUCUUUGUUCAAAAACUCCAAGGACCUGGACAACUCACACUCAUGGCCUUCCUUCCAGUAACACAGGGGAGUCAGGGGUGAAGCAGAGUAUCCUAACCAUCUAAUCACAUGGUUGUUUCCCCUGGCAACCACCCCAUCCUGAGGCUAUGCACGGCCCGCAGUCACUAGUCACCUCAACAUCACUUUGAUUCCAAGGCUUUUAGGAGCUGUAGGCCAAGGAAACAGGAACAAACCAAAAUAAAUAUUUCAUAAUAUCACAGAUGUCUUUCUAGGUAUUUGUAUCUUUCUUUCUUUUUUUUUUUUUUGAGAUGGAGUUUCCCUCUUGUCGUCCAGGCUGGAGUGCAGUGGUGUGGUCUUGUCUCACUGCAACCUCUUCCUCCUGGGUUGAAGUGAUUCUCCUGCCUCAGCCUCCUGAGUAGCUGGGACUACAUGCACGCACCACCACGCCCGGCUGAUUUUUGUAUUUUUGGUAGAGACGGGGUUUCACCAUUAUUGGCCAGGCUGGUCUCAAACUCCUGACCUCAGGUGAUCCACCUGCCUCGGCCUCCCAAAGUGCUGAGAUUACAGGUGUGAGCCACUGCGCCCAGCCUCUUUAGUUUCUUUUAGCAAUGCUUUGUAGCUUUCAGUGUAGAAGUCUUUUAUUUUCUUGGUUACAUUUAUUCUCAAGUAUUUGUUUUUGUGCCAUUGUAAAUGGGAUUGUUUUCUUAAUUUUCUUUUCUGCCUGGUCACCACUAGUGUGUAGAAACACAAUUCAUUAUUAUUUUUCUUGCUGAUUUUGUUUUUUUCGCCUUUGCUGAAAUCCCAUAGAGUCAGCCCUCCAUAUUCCUGGGUUCUGCAUCUAUGGAUUCAACCAGCUACGAAUUGAAAAUAUUCAGAAAAAAAUUGGAUGGCUGUGUCUGUAAUGAAUAUGUGCUUUUUUCCCCCUUAUUAUCUCCUAAAUGACUUAUUAUAAAAACUAUUUACACAGCAGUUGCAUUGUAUUAGGUAUUAUAAAUAACCUACAGAUGAUUUAAAGUAUAUAGGAAGAUGAGUGUAGGUUAUGAGAAAAGAACUUUUAUCUGAAGAAUGUGAGACUGUGGCAGGCCAGGUCUCACUAACGCAGGCCUCCAUAACAACUGUUUCAGUACUGACUGAGUGGUUAAGUUAAAUAUUAAAAGCCAGCGCCCUUACAUAAGGGCUGGGAUGUAACAAAAGCCCACCAAAAAGUUUCUCCUAGGCCUGCCUUUCUUGGGCUUUAAUGCAUGACAACAAUAAUGAAGGAAUUUUUUUUUUUGAGAUGGAGUCUCACUCUGUUGCCCAGCUGCGAUCUCGGCUCACUGCAACCUCUGCCUCCCAGGUUCAAGCAAUUCUCCCGCCUCAGCCUCCUGAGUAGCUGAGACUACAGGUGCCCGCCACCCCACCCGGCUAAUUUUUUGUAUUUUUAGUAGAGAUGGGGUUUCACCGUGUUAGCCAGGAUAGUCUCGAUCUCCUGACCUCGUGAUCCGCCCGCCUCGGCCUCCCAAAGUGCUGAGAUUACAGGGGUUAGCCACCAUGCCUGGCCAAGAAGUUGUUUUAUCUUGUUUACUGCUGAAGGUGUCAGGGUAAGGGGGGCCCAGGUGGGCUGAAGUUUCCUCUUGCUCACAGCGCAGACAGUUGCCCGGACUAAGGAAGCCGACAUCUUUGCUGUCCUGGCGCUCCGGUACCUCCAGCCAGAGCUCGGCCGCCUCAGCCUCUCUCCAUGGACAUGGCGGGCGCAUCCAGUUCAAAGAAUUUUUAAAUUUCCAUCUUGAUUUCAUCCAACGCUCAUCCAGAAACAGAUGACUACUUUUUCAGGAAUGACUACUUGAUGGGCCCACAACUUGCACAGAAGAAAAAAAAUCUCCCCACCAGCCUGCACCCUAGAUGAAGGCCAAUACCCAGCAUUAGUCACAGCUUCAUUCUAAAAUACACAGCCACAGCUAGGCCGGGUGCAGUGGCUCACACCUAUAAUCCCAGAAUUCUGGGAGGCCGAGGCGGAUGGAUCACUUCAGGUCAUAAGUUCGAGACCAGCCUGGCCAACAUGAUGAAACCCC
rnacentral:lncRNA from 10 species